UUGAGCCUACGGGGGGCAGCAGUGAGGAAUAUUGGUCAAUGGGCUUACGCCUGAACCAGCCAAGUCGCGUGAGGGAAGACUGCCCUAUGGGUUGUAAACCUCUUUUGUCAGGGAGCAACGCCGGCUACGUGUAGCGUUAUCGAGAGUACCUGAAGAAAAAGCAUCGGCUAACUCCGUGCCAGCAGCCGCGGUAAUACGGAGGAUGCGAGCGUUAUCCGGAUUUAUUGGGUUUAAAGGGUGCGUAGGCGGAAUGCCAAGUCAGCGGUAAAAUCGCGGGGCUCAACCUCGCUCCGCCGUUGAAACUG
rnacentral:rRNA from 1 species